rnacentral:tRNA from 1 species
GCCCGUGUGCCGCGAAAGAGCGGCGGUUUCGUAAACCGCAGGCCGGGGGUUCAAUACCCUCCAGUGGCU